CACCGGCGGCUCGAGUGGUGGCCACUUUUAUUGGGUCUAAAGCGUCCGUAGCCGGCUUGGCAAGUCCCCUGGGAAAUCUGGCGGCUUAACCGUCAGGCGUCCAGAGGAUACUGCCAGGCUUGGGACCGGGAGAGGUGAGAGGUACCUCAGGGGUAGGGGUGAAAUCUUGUGAUCCCUGAGGGACCACCAGUGGCGAAGGCGUCUCACCAGAACGGAUCCGACGGCAAGGGACGAAAGCUAGGGGCACGAACCGG
rnacentral:rRNA from 1 species